AAAUAACCCUGAUGCACACUCUAUCAAACACAAAGGAUACUAUAUACAAUUUAAAAGGAAAUACAUAAUAAAUUUAAGAUAUAUAUUAACAAAAUUUUACUUUACUUUGGUGCCUGUGCAUCUACAAGACUACAACUCAAGUUCAUCUUCCUACAACUCAUGUUCAUCUUCCUCUUCGGUCUUGAGGGCUCUCGGCUUGCCAUCUACAGGCUGUAGCUCUCCUGUUUCGUCUUCCUCUUUGUUCUCAACCUCCUUUGCCCUCUCAUCUCUCUCUUUGUCGUCUCCCCCUCUCCGAAUCGACGCAUCUCUAACCCUAAUUCCCUCUGCUGAGUCUUGGAGUUAGAUCUUCUUUCUCCUUUGGGGUUUGCUGUCAGCGGCCGACUAAUCGGCGACUUGGGAGCUCCGGCUGUACAAGUCGUCAAGGAGGCGGCACCGAGGAUGUCGGUCGACUUCGAGGUCCUCGUCAUGGAUCUUGAUCCAACAGUCGAGGUGGAAGAACACCGGCUCCAGACGUUUAACAGGAGGACGCUAAUACUUUGUUCGAUGUCGGUACCAGCAUCAACCUAGACAUGCCUAGGACGGAGACUGGCAUAGGCCCCACAAGACGUACCCCUACCGACUCUAUGGCCCCUACUGAUGUGGCUUGCACUGCUGCCAGUGAUGAUCGCGGUAGCAACAAAUCAAGGAAGAGGGCACCCAGAUCUAAAGUCUAGAACGACUUCGAGGAGCUAACUCAUGUCAUCAAUGGUAAGAGGGUCAGGUAUGGUUCCAUUUGCAAGUACUAUAAGCAGACUUUGAGUGCCAAAACUAGCUACGGUAUAGGCCACUUGCUCUGGCAUCUAAAGUGUAAACUAUCUGUGAACUGCUUGUGAUCUGUAUUUGAUUCUGAUUGUGAUCUGUAUUUGAGGAAAUUGUAUGUGUUUUGUGCCUAUUACUUGAACUGUAUGUAUUUGAGUAAUUCUGUAUGAAGUAUAUGUAUUCA